UACGGAGGGGGCUAGCGUUGUUCGGAAUCAUUGGGCGUAAAGGGCGCGUAGGUGGCUUCUCAAGCGCGCGGUGAAAGCCCGGGGCUCAACCCCGGGUCGGCCGUGCGGACUGGGAGGCUCGAGCACUGUAGGGGCGGGUGGAAUUCCGGGUGUAGCGGUGGAAUGCGUAGAUAUCUGGAGGAACACCGGUGGCGAAGGCGGCAUCCUGGACCAAUACUGACGCUGAGGAGCGAAAGCCAGGGAGCAAACGGG
rnacentral:rRNA from 1 species